CGGGAAACCGGCUGCGGAGCGCUCCCGAGCGUGGCCGGCCUUGAAGCUAGAAGAGGGGCAGGCCGUGAGUUGUUAACGUCCGGGCGGCUGCUGGCAGCCAUGAAGUAGCGCUGCCGGCUAUCGACUUGUCCAGCUGGUCAAGGUGGGAUGAGCCUGUUACGGUGGGAACCGGUGCCAGCCUCAGCGCCUGCAUUUUGGAGUUCUCGUACUUGGUUGUAUGAGCUCUCCCACUGUCCAGUGAGUUUCUGUUUCCCGACAGCCCUCUCUCAUAAACGCACUGCCAGGUCAGAGGUGUGUGUCUGCAUAGUGCAGCCUGUUGUAUCCCUCUGAGCACCGCAGGAGCUGACAUAGAUUUCAGCAGGGUGUCCAGCCCACAGCAACAACGCCCUUUUCCUCAACAGGUUUGGUUAGCCCCAAGCAAACUGCUCUGCUCACAUGGCUGAACUGUGUCUGCUGCUGGAGGCAGCUUGGAUGUAUCUGCACAGAACUGUGUUACAUCAUCAUCCCUAAUAAAUACUUGGCAAAUCAAA